GGUUCUUCAAAGCACCUCUGUGUCAAUCUAUAAACAGUAACUAUAAACUGUUGCCACAUGCACUGUUUCUAUGGUAGCCUCAACUAGUAACUAAAAAUAAACCAGGGGUGGGGGUGAUCCAUGCAUGCUGCUUUGAAGGAAGCGGAUUGUUGGCAAGAAAACUUGGGUUUACAACUCAAAAAAUUGAACUAAACAGUGGUGCGGCGGGGGAACUCUCCUAAACUUCUUCCAUACCCUUUCAUUCUGAGACAGAUGACAAGGAACAUGGAAGCAACACAAGAAUUCUCCUCAGUCCCAAAAGUCCAACUUCAACAGAAGUAUUGGGUAACAGAAGAUAGUAAAGCUAAACUGCUGGCGGUUGGUGCCAAAUGUUUGGAGCUAGUCACUUACAGAGAACAUUAUUACGAUACUACUUCAGAUGACCUAGCAAUGGCUCAAUUAUGGCUUAGUCAAAGAAAUCAACAGUGGCAUCUUAUACUAGAAUCUCAGGAGCAGAUGGAUAGAGAAAAUGUUGCAAACCAGAACAAACCAGAAAAUAUUCAGAGUGCUAAACCUACUGUCUAUGAAGAAAAGAAGCAAACACAAUUUGAGCCUAACAAUCAAAAUGACCAGCAACUUGAUUUGAUUGAAACAGAUAGUACAUAUACAUGUGCAGCAGCCAGUUCUGCAUAUACUGAACUAGUUGGGGAAAGAGAGAUAAUUACACAUCUGGCAAACUUUCUUAACAUAGAUUUGAAAUUUGAGGAAGACGCAAACAUGACCAUGGAAGACUUUCUGAAGAAGGCUGGUAUCCAGCAUUAUGCAAGCAAUCAUGUUAUUAAUCAAAUAACAUAUAAACUGUGUGACCAGUACACAAUUAUAAUUCAAAGGGAUGAAAGCUCUUUGAAGGAGUCUGCAACUAUAUUGUUAGAUAUGGAUAUUUUAAAUAUUUGCAAAGGCUUUGAAGAAAUGGAAAAAUUAGCGAAUUACCUGCAAUUUGAACAUCAAGCACUUCAAAGUGAACAGGAACUGCUCAUGUAA
rnacentral:lncRNA from 1 species